rnacentral:tRNA from 1 species
GCCUCCGUAGCUCAGUUGGUAGAGCAAGGGACUCUUAAUCCCUGGGUCCAAGGUUCGAGUCCUUGCGGGGGUACUA